AUUUACUUAGUACAGGAUUGGGGUUUGGUUUAGGGUUAGUUGAAUGUAAUUAUGCAUAAUUUACUGUAAGAAUUACAUGUGUAAGGCACUGUAAAAUAAAGUGUUAUCAUUAUUGUUUUUACAAUAACCAAUCAUUUUCAACCUGACAAACAGUAUUUCAAUGAAAUAAAAUACUUAACGCCAUAAUGUGAAUAUGAACUUUCACCUUAAAAGAGAAAAAUGAUAUUAGCCGUAUAAUUCAGCCAUAUGAUCAAAUAACCUUAAAAUUAUUCAGGAGAACCAAAUAGUUAUUAUUUAUUAUCAAGAUAUUUUAUGUUUAACACAGAUUCUUGUGUGAGUUAUUGAUUAUUGAUGUGAUUGUCAGCCAACAGUCCCCCUAAAGUGAGCGUCCUGCCGCCGUCCAGUGAAGAGAUUUCCACAAAGCAAGCAGCAACACUGAUGUGUGUGGCCAACAAGGGCUUCCCCUCAGACUGGAGUCUGAACUGGAAGGUGGACGGGAUCAGCAGCAGGUCUCAGUACAGCAGUGUUGCUCUCCUGGAGAAGGACGGUCUGUACAGCUGGAGCAGCAGUCUGACUCUCUCUGAGCAGGAGUGGAGCUCAGUGAUCUCAGUCAGCUGUGAGCUCACACAGAAAGACCAGCGUGAUAAAGUCACUGGAGAAUUGAGGAGAGAUCAGUGUUCACAGUAGAUCCAC